rnacentral:lncRNA from 1 species
CUGGGUUGCCAAAUCGAUUUCCAAAUCGAUUUUGGCAGUUUUGCUGAGUUCCUGCCUCUCUGCCAAUCGAUUUCCAAAUCGAUUUCUUAAAAGAUUUUGAAAGACAUAUUUAUACAAUCGAUUGGCAAAUCGAUUAGGUUAAAAUAGUGAACUUCCUGCAACUCAUCCAAUCGAUUGGGAAAUCGAUUUCCCUGCUUAUUCUUCCAAAAAUACUUAAACUAAUUCAAUCACACUCACACAUAACUCCAAAACUUAACACUUAGCUAUUCCCACACAAUCACCACGACGAAUUGGUUUUUGAAAUAGUUUUACAAUCCAUCGCACUCACACACGAUAAUCAAUACAUAACACUUAACAAUUCCGACACAAUUUCCACAACAAUUCCAAUUCAAACC